rnacentral:rRNA from 1 species
GACGGUUGUCCCGGUUUAAGCGUGUAGGUGUGUGUUCCAGGUAAAUCCGGUUCACUUUAACACUGAGGCGUGAUGACGAGGCACUACGGUGCUGAAGCAACAAAUGCCCUGCUUCCAGGAAAAGCCUCUAAGCAUCAGGUAACAUCAAAUCGUACCCCAAACCGACACAGGUGGUCAGGUAGAGAAUACCAAGGCGCUUGAGAGAACUCGGGUGAAGGAACUAGGCAAAAUGGUGCCGUAACUUCGGGAGAAGGCACGCUGACAUGUAGGUGAAGUGAUUUACUCAUGGAGCUGAAGUCAGUCGAAGAUACCAGCUGGCUGCAACUGUUUAUUAAAAACACAGCACUGUGCAAACACGAAAGUGGACGUAUACGGUGUGACGCCUGCCCGGUGCCGGAAGGUUAAUUGAUGGGGUCAGCGCAAGCGAAGCUCCUGAUCGAAGCCCCGGUAAACGGCGGCCGUAACUAUAACGGUCCUAAGGUAGCGAAAUUCCUUGUCGGGUAAGUUCCGACCUGCACGAAUGGCGUAAUGAUGGCCAGGCUGUCUCCACCCGAGACUCAGUGAAAUUGAACUCGCUGUGAAGAUGCAGUGUACCCGCGGCAAGACGGAAAGACCCCGUGAACCUUUACUAUAGCUUGACACUGAACAUUGAGCCUUGAUGUGUAGGAUAGGUGGGAGGCUUUGAAGCGUGGACGCCAGUCUGCGUGGAGCCGACCUUGAAAUACCACCCUUUAAUGUUUGAUGUUCUAACGUGGACCCGUGAUCCGGGUUGCGGACAGUGUCUGGUGGGUAGUUUGACUGGGGCGGUCUCCUCCUAAAGAGUAACGGAGGAGCACGAAGGUUGGCUAAUCCUGGUCGGACAUCAGGAGGUUAGUGCAAUGGCAUAAGCCAGCUUGACUGCGAGCGUGACGGCGCGAGCAGGUGCGAAAGCAGGUCAUAGUGAUCCGGUGGUUCUGAAUGGAAGGGCCAUCGCUCAACGGAUAAAAGGUACUCCGGGGAUAACAGGCUGAUACCGCCCAAGAGUUCAUAUCGACGGCGGUGUUUGGCACCUCGAUGUCGGCUCAUCACAUCCUGGGGCUGAAGUAGGUCCCAAGGGUAUGGCUGUUCGCCAUUUAAAGUGGUACGCGAGCUGGGUUUAGAACGUCGUGAGACAGUUCGGUCCCUAUCUGCCGUGGGCGCUGGAGAACUGAGGGGGGCUGCUCCUAGUACGAGAGGACCGGAGUGGACGCAUCACUGGUGUUCGGGUUGUCAUGCCAAUGGCACUGCCCGGUAGCUAAAUGCGGAAGAGAUAAGUGCUGAAAGCAUCUAAGCACGAAACUUGCCCCGA